AGAGUUUGAUCCUGGCUCAGGAUGAACGCUGGCGGCGUGCUUAACACAUGCAAGUCGAGCGAAGCGCUUCUGAUGAUUUCUUCGGAUUGAAUCAGCUGCGACUUAGCGGCGGACGGGUGAGUAACGCGUGGGCAACCUGCCCUGUACAGGGGGACAACAGUUAGAAAUGACUGCUAAUACCGCAUAAGCGCACAGCAUCGCAUGAUGCAGUGUGACAAACUCCGGUGGUACAGGAUGGACCCGCGUUGGAUUAGCUUGUUGGUGGGGUAAAGGCCUACCAAGGCGACGAUCCAUAGCCGGCCUGAGAGGGCGACCGGCCACAUUGGGACUGAGACACGGCCCAAACUCCUACGGGAGGCAGCAGUGGGGAAUAUUGCACAAUGGGGGAAACCCUGAUGCAGCGACGCCGCGUGAGCGAAGAAGUAUUUCGGUAUGUAAAGCUCUAUCAGCAGGGAAGAAAAUGACGGUACCUGACUAAGAAGCCCCGGCUAACUACGUGCCAGCAGCCGCGGUAAUACGUAGGGGGCAAGCGUUAUCCGGAUUUACUGGGUGUAAAGGGAGCGUAGACGGUAUGACAAGUCUGAAGUGAAAGGCAUGGGCUUAACCUGUGGACUGCUUUGGAAACUGUCACACUAGAGUACCGGAGGGGUAAGCGGAAUUCCUGGUGUAGCGGUGAAAUGCGUAGAUAUCAGGAGGAACACCGGUGGCGAAGGCGGCUUACUGGACGGAAACUGACGUUAAGGCUCGAAAGCGUGGGGAGCAAACAGGAUUAGAUACCCUGGUAGUCCACGCCGUAAACGAUGAAUGCUAGGUGUCGGCAGGUAUUCCUGUCGGUGCCGCCGCAAACGCAUUAAGCAUUCCACCUGGGGAGUACGUUCGCAAGAAUAAAACUCAAAGGAAUUGACGGGGACCCGCACAAGCGGUGGAGCAUGUGGUUUAAUUCGAAGCAACGCGAAGAACCUUACCAAGUCUUGACAUCCUGCUGACCGGCCCUUAACCGGGCCUUUCCUUCGGGACAGCAGAGACAGGUGGUGCAUGGUUGUCGUCAGCUCGUGUCGUGAGAUGUUGGGUCAAGUCCCGCAACGAGCGCAACCCCUGUCCCCAGUAGCCAGCACGUAGAGGUGGGCACUCUGAGGAGACCGCCAGGGACAACCUGGAGGAAGAUGGGGAUGACGUCAAAUCAUCAUGCCCCUUAUGACUUGGGCUACACACGUGCUACAAUGGCGUGGAACAAAGGGAAGCGAAAGGGCGACCCGGAGCAAAUCUCAGAAAACACGCCUCAGUUCGGACUGUAGUCUGCAACCCGACUACACGAAGCUGGAAUCGCUAGUAAUCGCAGAUCAGAAUGCUGCGGUGAAUACGUUCCCGGGUCUUGUACACACCGCCCGUCACACCAUGGGAGUCGGUAACGCCCGAAGCCUGUGACCCAACCGCAAGGAGGGAGCAGUCGAAGGCGGGGCUGAUAACUGGGGUGAAGUCGUAACAAGGUAGCCGUAUCGGAAGGUGCGGCUGGAUCACCUCCUU
rnacentral:rRNA from 1 species